GCCAUGAAGGUGGCGGCGAACGCGGCGUGCCUGUCGUGGCCCAUGUAGGUGGCCAGGUCGUCGGCGAAGGCGAAGGUCAGCGAGAAGACGUGGGUGAAGCCCUGCGUCAGCAUCUCCUGGUUCAGCACGUCCUGACCCCUACAAUGCAAACCAGUCCAUUGAUUUGUUCAUGGAGAUGCAUGGAGAGCAGGGUGAUGACUGAUGAACAGAACAAAUUGCAAUCUCCCAUCUCCCUUCUAGUAUUAGCAAAGCGAGAUGCUAGCUCGUGAUACUGGCCGGCUGGCCGGCCGGGCAUCCAUGUCAAUCAUUCAGCAGAGCAUGAUAGCGAGUCUCUGAACUCUGAAGAAGUUGGAUGCAACACCUGUUUGCUAACUGAAUGACUGAACAAAAGCCAUUCAGAGCUGUACCAUGUGUUACUGUUACUAAUUCACCAUGCAGUGUAAAGUGUAAACUUUAACACAGAAAAAAUAAAGCUGAAUACAUUCAGCUUGCUUGCUUGACAGAAGAGGAAGGGUGAGAAGAAGGGAGUGAGAAGGCAGAAAGGUAACAACAGCUCAUGAAUGAAUGAAUGAACAAAAGCCAUUCAGAGCUGUACCAUGUGUUACUGUUACUAAUUCACCAUGCAGUGUAGUAAAGUGUAAACUUUAACAGAAAAAAGAAAGCUGAAUACAUUCAGCUUGAUUGCUUGACAGAAGGGGAAGGGUAAGAAGAAGGGAGUGGGAAGGCAGAAAGGUAACAACAGCUCAUGAAUGAAUGAAUGAAUGACUGACUGAAUGUAGUACCACUCGAAAGAUUUCACCAUGUCCAUCCCGGCCACGAGGUCAGUCAUGCCUUUGAGGACAUCCUCCACCACGACGCCCUCCUUGAACUUCACCAGGCACAGGUGCUUCACCUCCCCCAUGGUUGGCCGGCGCCGAAAGCCCCCUCUGACCCUCAAAGCAAGCUUGCUUGCUCAAAGGUCUCUCCUCAGUCCUCACACUGACUCACUCACUCACUGACUGCCCCCAAUGGCUUUAUUUGCAGAUGAGAGGAGUAUGCUCGGGGCGUCGUCAAUGCAAUGCUGCGAUGGAUCGUGGCGACAUGAUGGUGCUGGCCAAUUUAAGCUAGUGCGCUGCGUGCUGCGGCACCGACAGGGAUCACUGCAGAGCUUAUUAUUCCUAGUGGACUGAAUCAUUUCGGUACAGUAAAUUAAACACCACGCGGUUUAGCGGUGCGGAGAAUCUACUGUGUUACUGAUCGGAGCCAACUAUCUUUACUCUUACCUAUUCGCUUGUCUUAAAAGCAGUAAACAUAGAUUCGACAGAUAAAUUUAAACGAUCAGAACCUCUACUAUUUUACUAAUUCAAGCCAUCUAUCUUACCAUUACUAAUUGGAGCUACUAUGUUACUAAUUGAAGCUUACUAUCUUACUGUUUGGAGCCUACUAUGUCGAUAGACACAUUACUAAUUGGAGGCUACUGUCGCUAGACACAUGGUAAGAAAAUGGUAAAUCUUAGAAAUUCUCAUAAAAAACUUAAACCAAUAAAUACUUGGUCCUUGAAUUUUGUAGACUUUCAUCAUCAUUAAUACUAAUGUCCAUUGCAUUUUUUCUUGAAAACUUACCCAUCUUUGCUAUUAUGAGAAGAUAUAUAAAAAUAGCCCCUAACUAUAUACACAUUUACAAAUAAAACACUAGCUCCUCUCACGGUGUACGCCAAAGAAGCGGUUGGCUAAGCCACCCCAGGUUCGAGUCACGGCACCAUCUUCUUAAGACGAAAAUUAGGAGGUCGUCUCUCCCCAUGGUCGAGUUUUUAAGUAUAAGUGCAUGAUAGAUGACACAUGCCACCAUAUAGACAAUGAAUGGACGUACAUUAGGACCAAUGAGCAUUAUCGACUUCCAUAGUUUUUUAAUUUUCAAUUAGUGCUACAUUAUGUUAAUAUACCCUAUGACAAAGGAUUAUGUUAGCUUCUAUUUUACAUAAAAUUUUGUUAUAAUUGAAAUAAAAUGUUUAAUUAUACUAAGUUGUCAGAGACUACUAUUUAUUAGAAUUAUUUCUGGUAUAUUUAUCAUAAAAAAGGGAAGGUGCAAGAGGGGUUAGUUUAUCUGGAUGAGGUUCCAUUCUUGUUUUGUUUUCAGAAAGUAUAUUACUACACCUAUACCUUUGAUACUUUCACCGUACUACAAAUGUAAUGUAACCCGAUCAAGGCUUUUCUAAGCUAUUUUAAAUUUGACAACCAAUAGCUACCUUCAUAUGGAUCCUCAAUGUCAUUCUAGUGUUGUCAAUCUUUACAAAAUUUUAGAUAUUGGUAGUCAAAGUUCAAAAGUUUGACUCAGGACAAACAUAUAUGAUUAGAAGAAAUUGACAUCUCAAGCACUGUAAUAAAAAGUAUAACAAGCACCAGCUCAACUGAACAUGCUGAGGAAAUAGCUUAUCAUACAAACUGCAAUUCUUUCAAAGUUGGGAAGCCGAAAUCCGGAGUUGGGUGCAACAAGUGCUAUCAUAACUCAAGCAAAUGUUUGAAAACACAUGUCAAACGUGUAUGGAUGAUUAUGAAUGGAGAUGGAAUGUAUAUGGACUAUUUAUAAUUCACCAAAAUAAAGUAUAUCGCAACCACAUAGAUUACUCGGCAGCUAUAUGGGUACCAGGCAAGAGAAUAAAAUAAAAUAAAAUAAAAUAGAAAAGAAGAAUACUCCCUCUGUCCUAAAAGAGUGAGUGUUACUGUGGGAUUCAUGCCGGUCAAACUUUGUUAAAUUUUCUUAGGGUUGUAGAAAUAUUAGCAACACUUGUAUCUUUAAAUAAGUUUAUUAAUACUUUUAUAUAAUUGGCUAAAGUUGAAAGUGUUUGAUUUCUCGGAAAAUGAGAAUGAGUACUGGCCCUGUUCUAGUUUGAUUUCUCGGAAAGUUGAAAGUUUAUUGGGCGAGUCUCAAUGCAUGUUUCAUGAGAGUGUCAUGCACAUUAAAUAGGGUGCCACAUAAGCAAAAUUGCUGACUUGGCAGGGUCAUUAAAUGAAGGAGUUUCAUCAGAUGAGAGAGUAGUUUCAUCCCCAUAAAACUCUUGUGGCUCGGUUACCUAGUUUAUAGUCUUGGUAACUGUGUCAUGAAACUAUGCAUUGAGAGUGGCCUUAACACUUGUAUCUUUAAUAUAAUAGAUUUCUUGCACGAAGAGUACUGGCCCCAUUCUAGUUAGUUGCAUAUAUAUAAUAAAUACUCCUUUGGCUCUAAUUUGUAGGUCAUUUUGGCUUUUGUAGAUGUAUAUAUAAUUUUCAUAAUACAGUGGACAUAUAUAAUAUCUAUUAGGUGCAUAUCAAAAGCUAAAAAAACCAAAGCGAUAUGUAAUGAUCUAUAAUUUAGGAGAGGGAGACUAUUAUAAUUUGUGACAGAGGCAGUACGAUAUGCCCUAAAAUUCUCUCACCAACUUGUGUCAGUGCACUGGCAAGGGUUAAUAAGGCCAGUCUCAAUGCAUAGUUUCAUGACACAGUUACCAAGACUAUAAACUAGGUAACCGGGCCACAUGAGUUUCAUGGGGAUGAAACUCCUCUCUCAUCUCAUGAAACUCCUUCAUUUAAUAACUCUGUCAAGUCAGCAAAUUUGCUUAUGUGGUACCUUAUUUAAUGUGCAUGACACUCUCAUGAAACAUGCAUUGAGACUAGCCUAAGAGACUGCUGGUUUAGGACACGCUGACGCGGUUAGAUCUGGGAUGAGUCAUCAUUUGAUUGGACCGACCGACACGAGCGUACGACGGUGCGUGGGCAGCCAUAUGCCUGCUGCCCUCCUCCUCGCCUCUUCUGCUGCACAGCUGCAGGCCCCUCCAAGAUUUCAUCAUACUGAUCUGAUCUCCUGACCCUUGCUAGUAGAUCAGAAUUGUUCAUCACCGUGCAGUGCUACUAUACCACCACGCCAGUUACCAGUAUCAGAUGGAAUGUUUGAUCGCGCUCUAUCAGAUAAUAUCUCAGGUUCGAGAGAGGGAUUGGGCGCGGCGUCGCCGUACUUGACAAAAACAGAACAUUGGAUUCAGACCACAUGGUACUACAGCCUACAGUAGAUGGAACUGUGCUGCUAGCAUUCCCAGUUUACAAGCUGACAACAUGGCAACUGAUCAUGCCUGCUGUUCAAGAGGAAUUUUUACAUGCGUGCCUGAAUAAGACAGCUGCAUCAGCCAUCAGUUAAUCCCUACUAGCAUCGCCCCGCCCCGCCCCGGGGAAAUAAAACACGUCCAUUUCAAAUGACAAAUGGUACACUGCCAGUAGCCCAGUACACAAAACCAUGUCAUUCUCAAAUGCUCUCAUCACAUGGAACUAACCCGCUGAUCCUAUUUGUUGAUGCCAACAACAGGGUACUAGCCUUUUGCAAAUGCACUGCUGCUGACAUCUCUCUUGUGGUAUACAUAUCCCAUAUACCACGGUGUGCUGUUUUUGACCAUGAAUACUGAAUGAAUAAACUGUGUGUUUUUCUUUCCAACAACAGACCUGAAUUGAUUUCUCGUAUCUACACGAAACCCCCUCAAAUCUAACCUACAACAGCAACAGCCAUCCACCACCAGUGUGCACGUUUCUCGUUUUACCACGUAGUACUUGUUCACCCUGCAGGGCCUGCAGCAGAGCAGAGGCGCCAAAGCAGCCGCUAUUUGCAGGGUCCUAGCUGGGUAGAUCUGUCCACCUGCUUUCUUACCGUCUGGCUGUUGUUAUUUUCUGGAGGCGGGUCACCUUCAGGCAACGGCAAGCUGUUAGCCCCAUCCACUACUGAUGGACCAGAUACAACCUGAUUCUCCUGGUCGGGCUCAUGUCUUGGAGCCACCUCUGAUGCCCUUGAUGAGUGCCCACUGCUGACAAACAGGCAGCGGCAUGGAUCUGAUCUCGACGAUUCAGGAGAGCUUGGAGGGCUUAUUACUAUGCUGGAUAGUGGAGGGGGAGGAGGAGGAGGAGGAGGGGUAAGAGGAGGUGCAGUGUGUUCGCUUUCAGGGUUAUCAAGCACAAGCAGUGAGAUUCUACAGACCGGGCAGGUUGAGUUCUGCUCCAGCCAUAAAUCGAUACAGGCCAUGUGGAAAUUAUGGCUGCAGUAAGGCAGAAUGCGUAGCACGUCUUUCUCUUCGUAUUCUGCAAGACAAAUGAUGCACCUGCCAAUACCAACAAAGAUGGUUCAGUUCCAGGGACAGCAAAACAGGAAGUGGCUAAAAAUAUGAAAAGAAAAAAAAAAGGAAUCUCGGUAAGAAGAGUUUCUGAAACCACAUAUGUCAAGCAACAGGGUGUCACCAUUUUUACUUUGAAUGCAACAGAAGAAUGCAAAGGAUAAUUACUUGUGCUUCAGAAAGGUAACACAAUGGCCUCAGACUGAAACUGCUAUCAUACAGCUUACCAUCUGAUGGUUUGAUGCUCAUGUAAAUUCAGUAUAGCUAUAAGUAAGAAACUAAAGAUGCAACUAUGAUAGUCAAUUUGUGCGGACUAAACGAGAAAUGAGGCACUAGCCUGAGAACUAUUGGGACGAAAUAUCUACUCCUUACCAUGACAAAAUCUUCAAAUUUAUGUUUCAUGUUCAUGUUUCAAUCAAUCAAGAACAGAUAGUAACUGCUUCGCAUUCAACCAGAGGACUUGUUACCCAGCCCCUGUUUCCCUUUCAUCAAGCACAGGUGAGGUUAGACUACUUGAUAACAAUGUUUCACCAUUCGUCUCUAUCAUCUUCAGGGACCAGUUGCACAUCCAUACCCCCAUACUGAUGUGAUUGAUCAUUGAUCAAGUGGUCUUAGCUGUCCAGUAACGAUGCAAGCUGAGGGACUUAAUAAUUCAAUUGUCGAUAUCCAGCACCAGGAGAGCAUAAUAGGCAAGGCACUGGUACUAAACAAUCACACCAUUUUCUCUAUGUAGGCACCGAAAUCCUCAAGGACAAAGCACCAAAAUCCUCGAGGACAACUUCUAUGGUACUGAAAAUGUAAUGAAUUCCUCAAUGGCAACCUUUUCGGUACCAAAAGGCUACCUCACAAUGGGGUGGCACUUCAUGAUUUCUCAGUAAGCAAGAACAGGCAUGACAAACGGCUUUAUGAUUUCUUGGUAACACUAAUCAAGCAAAGGCUUGGCAAAGCACUUCAUGAUUUCUCAGUAACGAUAACCAAGCAUAAGGCUGGCAAAGGGCUUCAUGAUUUCUCAGUAACAGUAAGCAAACACAGGCUUCGCAAAAGGGCUUUAUGAUUUUUUCAGAAACAUCGGCAAAGGCCAAGAUCCAAGCUGUUGGGGAUAAGCACCUAUAGCACAGUGCACCAGUAGAGAUUCAGCCAAUAUGCUGGUAUUAGCUAGUAAUGGCGAGUACAUUUUAAUCAUGGUUUCACCAUAAGUUCCUUUCCAUAACAUUGAACAUGAAAUUAGCUCGAGGUGUCGGCAUCACUUGCAUAUGACUAGGACCCUGUAGAACUUGUAUUAGGCUAUACUGCCAUGUACAGUCUCCAACCAACUUUUCAUUCACAAAACAAAGAACCUAUCCUGGCUCCCAGAAUAGCAAAUUACUGAUUAGUAUUAUCCUGUAGGCCAGGGACACGGGGAUGAACCAGGGCACCCCAUUUCCAUUUCCAGUCUCCAACGAACAGGACAACGAUGUCCAGAAGAACCCAACUACGCACUGACAGCGACACUGGGAUGAACCAGGGCACCCCAUUUCCAAUCUGAUUCAUUCCUUCCACCACCCCCGGAAUAGAUCCCCGGCGGUGGUGGACCCCGCCCUCCUCCCCCCACUCCUCCGAGUGCCGGCCUCGCAUCGCAGCUACUACGCUAGUUGCGGCAUCCCGAUCCGCAAAAUCCUACCGGCGGAAACGUGCGCGAUCGGGCGAGCCUGCGACUGCAAUCCCCUCCCUCGCAGUCCCUAGUGGCGACCGGCGAACUCAGCCCACCGUGCGGCGGCAAGCAAUAGCAGGGUUCCACUUGCUGUACCGUACCCCCCCCCCCCCCCCCCCAGCAACGGCAACUCCACCGAACCGCACGCGAAAGCAGGAGCGCGGGUGGGUUGGGAUUGGAUUCGAAGCUUGCGUUGCACGGGACGCGACAGUGGAGCGGUGGCGUGCAGGCACAGAUUUGGAAUCAAUCGCUCGCCGACCCAGAGCGUGGGAGGGAGGGAGGUGGGGCGAAUCGCGAUCGGCACAGCACAGUGGAAUCAACCGAAAUGGAAAGGAGAGGAGUCGAGGACUUACUGGGAAUCGUCGUCGGAUUCGUCGGAGGUUUGUGCUGCGGCGGCGUAGUAGACGCGGGUGGGGAAAGCGGCGACGGCGGCGGGAUCGAGGCCGGGUGAGGCGCCCGCCGCGGCGGCGUGGUGGUGGUGGUGGUGGUGGUGGUAGUAGCGGGCGACGUGGAACGGGAAGGGGUCGGGAUCGGCGUGGUAGUGCUGCGGGAGCGUGGGCGUCGCGGCGGCGGCGCGGCGGGAGCGGGUCCAGCGGCGGCGGCGGCGGAGGAGCGCGCAGGCGAGGCGCGUGCAGACGAAGACGAUGAAGAGCACGCUGAAGCAGAAUCCCGCCAGCGCUAGCGCCAUGCUCGACCCCAUCGCUGCCGCUCGCUCGCUCGCUCGCCCGGUGAGAGGGAGGGAGCCUGGACUUGGGGGCCAGGUGCGGGUGGUGAUGCCGAGUGCGGGGCCGGAGCCGGAGCCGGAGCCGGACGCUCCCGGCACUGUCCCCCGGCUCUCUCUCAGUUGCUGGGCGACUGCGGCGGUGUACUGUGGACGACCUGUGCUGCUGGAGGAGGUGGUGGUGGGUGUGUGUGUGUGACUGUGGAAUGCGGCGCUCCGCGCUCCGGCUGCAGUGUGCCGUUGCGCACUCGAGUCGGCGGUGUGGGUCGUCUCGUCUGCUUGGGAAGGAACUGUUCCCGUCCCGUCUCCUGCGUGGCGUCGGGUUCGGGAAUUCGGCGGCGGGGGGGGGUUCAGUGGGCAGUGGGUGGCAAGGCAACUGUGGCGGCACGCCUGCGCCUGCACUCCUUUUUCUAUCUGCAUGGUGUAUGUAGGCCUUGUUUAGUUUCCAAAAAAAUUUCGUUUAAUUUCGAAAAUUUUUGUGAAAUCGACACUGUAGCACUUUCGUUUGUAUUUAACAAAUAUUAUCCAAUCAUGGACUAACUAGGCUUAAAAGAUUCGUCUCGUCAAUUUCGACCAAACUGUGUGAUUAGUUUUUAUUUUUGUUUAUAUUUAAUACUCCAUGCAUGUGUCUAAAGAUUCGAUAUGACGGAAAAUGUGAAAAAUUUUACAAAAUUUCCAGGAACUAAACAAGGCCGUACUGGAGGGCCUUCUUUAGCAAAAAAAAUUUAAGAUUCUCCGUCCUAAAUUUUUACGACAUAUAUAUGAAAAUAUAAAUUAAUUGCACAUUUUAUCUAUAAAUUACGAGAUAAUUUUUUUAAAUUUAAUUAUUUUAUAAUUAAAUAAUAUUUGUUUAAUAAAAACGAAAAAGCUAUGGUGUCAAAAUUUAAAACUUUUUUUUAUCUAAACAAGGUCGUCGGAACGGUGGUGGGAUGUGCGGCGACGCCGACGCCGACGCGACCCACCAGCCGUCGCGUGGCCUAUCGCCUGGCUAAUGUGCUGCAUGUGCAGGCUGCAACGGACGGGAUGGCUCUAAUGUGCGAUGCGUGCUGGAGGAGGACGCACCCAGUGGCGGACGGAAGGGGGGGGGGCUGAGGGGGGCCUGGCACCCCCAAACCUUCCCAUAACUCUCUUAAUACACCUCAUAUAUUAGAUGUUUAAUUAUCUAAUUAGCUAGUUAAUGAUAUUAUUUGUAUUAAGAUUUUUAUUCUUAUUUCAUAUUAAUCUCUAAUAGUUUCUUAUAUAAAUAGAAUCUAGAUUUUUCUAAUAUUUUCUUCAUAUCUUUUAUUUUUAUUAUUGCUUAUCAAACAUCAGUUUGUCCCCUACCACACACUCUAAUUAGCUAGUUAAUUGAAAAUCAGUGUUUUCGUUGUUUAAUCCUUCUGAAUUGAUCUCCAACAAUGAGAUCUAUAUUAUUUAGCAUUAGUCUUCCUAUUAUCUUUUUUAUCUCCUAUGUUUCUAUCAUUAUUCGUCUAAACUGGUCAUUUAGCCCGUUGUACUCAACUUUUAAACACCGUUUAACCUUCUAUUUAAAUGACCAUUUUAUCUGUUUAAGUGAUCGUUUUGUCUAAGACUAAACGAUACGUAACUGAUUGUUUAUCAUUUGAUGUUAGGAUCUAGUACUAAUUAAUUUUGCCCCCGUUUAACUACUUGUUUUUAUUGUGAUUAUUUUCCUGGGCAAAGAAAUAGAAUGAUCGGGUGAAUAUUAGAGGCCUGAGACUAGUUAAAUUUCUCUUUUAUUUUUUUUAGAUUUUUUGCUUUUUUUGCAUCGCAACACAAAUGUUUAUUUUGGUGCUACGUACACCUUUGUGAUAUAAUAUUUUGACACACAUGAUUGUUUUUGGUUUGCACGGCUCCCCCUAUGUUUAAAUCGUGGCUCCGCCCCUGGACGCACCGCACUGGUACAAAGAUAAGUAGAAUAUAUACGAUACCGUUACGGAUACGGAUGUGGAUACGGCGACAGUGGCAUGGCUCGCGUAUGGGUAUCUCUUUAGAGCGCACAAGUCAGAAGAGAAGAUAAGGGGAGGAAAGGAGACGACGAUGAGCGUUCGUCAACUCACGAAGGCCUGAAUGGAAUCGUUCGUCAACUCGCACGCCACGCUUUUUCGUCGAAUGCCGCAUGGUCCGCAUGGAUGGACGAGAGCCAGCAGGAUGCAUGUAGGGGCGCCCGGGCCCAAAGAGAGCGACGUCUCGUUGAAACAAUAGAAGCGCUUUGGAAAAUGUUUUCAGAAACACAUCGAAACAAGUUCUUUGGAAAUUGUUCGGAUAAGAUGAGGACAAGAGGAGUGCGAGAGAGAAAGUAGUACUCCCUCCGUCCACGAAAGAAUCAAUUCCGAUCCGUGUCAGUCAAACUUUUUAAAGUUUGACUAACUUUAUAGAAAAGAGUAACAACAUCUAUAAUAUAAAAUGCACAUUAUAUGAAAAUAUAUUCUAUGAUGAAUCUAAUAAUACUAAUUUGAUACUAUAAAUCUUAGCAUUUUUUCUAGAAAUUUGGUCAAUGUUUAAAAAGUUUGACUUAGGACAACUCUAGAAAUUGACUCUUUCGUGGACGGAGGGAGUAGUAAAAAGAACACCAACCCCCCCCCAAAAAAACACACACACGAUAAGCACUUCGGGAAAUUGUUCGGAUUCGAUUAGGACUAGAUGAAUGAAUGACCUAAAAGCAGAACGGACCAGAGGAAUGAAUUGAAUUUAAAAAAAAAACAGCAAGACUCAAUAAACUAAAACAAGGAGUAAAGUCCAUCGACUGUCUCUAAAAUUGUUUGGAUGUAUCAUCCCGGUUCUUAAACUCGUAAAACAACUGUUUAGGUACAUAAACUUAUUCGGUUGUGUCAUCAUGAUCCCUAAACUUAAAAAUCUCUCAUAUAGGUUCUGAAACUUUUUCAGUUGUGUCAUCCCGGUCCCUAAACUUGCUUUUAAGUUUCAUCUGGGUCAAAACAGGAUGAAUCUAAAAACUCUAUAUUGAAAAAUAACUUAUAACUUUUUCAUAUGAACUCAAUAAAGAUAAACUUUAUAUUAAAAUCGUAGGCAACAACGUGAUGUACAACUUUGCAGUUGAAAAGAUUUUAAAUUAAAAUCGUUUAGGGUCCCAAAAUAUAUUUUAUAAGUUUAUAGAUUUUAAAAUUUUAAAUUUUAAAUUAAAUUUUAUAACACUAAACGAUUUCAAAUAAAAAAUUUUCAACUACAAAGUUGAAGAUUGUGCUGAAGACUAUAAUUUUGGUAUAAAGUUUGUCUUCAUUCGAGUUUAUAUGAAAAUGUUAUGAAUUAUUUUUUGAUAUAGAGUUUUUAGAUCGUUUUGUUUUGACCAGUUGAGAUUCAAAACCAUGUUUAGGGACCGAGAUGACACAGCUGAAUAAAUUUGAGGACCUAAACUGAUGAUUUAUACGUUUAGAGACCAGAAUGACACAACUAAACAAGUUCAGAGACCCAGAUAACACAGACGAACAAGUUCGAGAACCUAAACGAUCGAUUUGUAAGUUUGAAGACCGAGAUGACACGAUAACAUAAAUUUAGGGACCGGUGGUUGAGAGUUCUUUGGAAAAUGUUCACAGAGGAUUAGAAGAUGAGGAGAGAGAAAAAAAGGAAAAAAAGAAAAAAAAACAGAUAAGCACUUUGGAAAUUGUUAGGACUAGAGGAAUGAAUGAACCCAACAAAAAGAAGCAGGAGUGCAUGAACAAAAAAAAACAUUAAACAAAAACACAACAUAACCAAACAAAAAGAAAGGUCAGCAGGAGUGCAUGAACGAAAGAGAAUAUAAACAAAAAAUAUGUCAGCAGGACUGCAUGAAUCAAAAGACAUAUAAACAAAAAAAACAAAAAUAAACUAAUUGGAGAUGCGGGGUAUCGAUCCCCGUACCUCUCGCAUGCUAAGCGAGCGCUCUACCAUCUGAGCUACAUCCCCUGUUGGAAUUUGAUUGUCACUUUAUAUUUUAUAAUCUCUGAAUGUAUGUUUGCUUAACAUGGAUGGAAUCACUGCUCGCUCCAGUCGAUGCUAUACCCUUCUUUUCUUUUUAGGCACACUGUACCCACCGGAACAAGCUUUUGUUAGUGCUGCUGCAUUCUGCAUAAUUGGGCUUCGGUACACCGUACACUCGAUGGGUAGGCAACCUAUACAGCCUAAUGUAAAUUACUAGACGGAUCUUUUAACUCUAGUUAGUCUAUGAUUAGAUAAUAUUUGUCACAAACAACCAAAAGUAUUAUAGUAGCAAAAUCUAAAAACUUUUCCCAUCUAAACAAGACCUAGACCAUGCCAUACAAGGUGACACGUCCAUCAUAAAAUGGACCCUCUUCGCUCCUUCAGAAUUUAAGGUCUUGUUUAGUUCAUCCAAAAACCAAAAAGUUUCCAAGAUUCUCCGUCACAUCAAAUCUUACGACAUAUACAUGAAGCACUAAAUAUAGAUGAAAAUAAAAACUAAUUACACAAUUUGUCUGUAAAUCGCGAGACGAAUAGUUAGUCUAUGAUUGGACAAUAUUUGCCACAAACAAACAAAAGUGCUACAGUAUCGAAAUCUAAAAAGUUUUCACAUCUAAACAAGGCCUAAAGCAAGGUAAGGUCAGCUCCAACAAUAACGAUUCAGAUAGUUCAUAGUAUCAUCAUUUUUUUUCUUAUACAAGAGGAAGAGAAGAAUUGAAGAAGCUGGCAGCUUCAUUGUGAUCGCUAUAACGAAACAAGCGGGCAGAUCACCCACAUUUCCUUUUCCUAUGUUUUUUUAGAAUUAUAGACACUCGAGUGUCUGUUUGGAACAAAGGAUUACAAAACGAAGGAAUAGGAAAAAACGUAGGAAUGACAGUGAGUGAAAGUAGAGAAACCGUAGGAUUCCAAAACGCAGGAAUAAAAAAUUUUAGCUGUUUGGAUUACAGGAAAUGAUAAAUUGCAUCACCGCAUGUCCAAGCAACAAAACACCUUUAAUUAUUUCUAUUUCGGAAUAAAUUACUUUAACUAUUUUUAGGUCUGAUUUACAUAAUUAUUAAUUGGCCAGGCAUGCUAUUAUGGCAUAGUAUUUUUUUUGAAACUGGUGUAGUAUAUACAAUUGUCUUCUUUACCCAUGUAAUCUUAUUCGGUAUCUUAUCAUAUAUGGGACCCACGGUGUAGUUAUGAUCUCUCACCCGGUUCUUCUACUCGGUUCAUCUUCAUCUCCCUCGUCCAGGUGUUGCCGCAAGCGCGGGCACACAGCUGCUGACCCAUCUAUGGACAGUAGCCGUGGACUAUUUUUCUGUAUAGCACCACUGCAUGAUCGGGCAUUAGCACCGGUCGGGAAGGGCCUGUUGCCCCGGUUCCCGAGCCGGUGCUGCCCUUCCGGGACUAAAGGCCCACCCUUUAGUCCCGGUUCGGCCAACCGGUGCUAAAGGCCCCCCCUUUAACACCGGUUGGUAACACCAACCGGUGUUAAAGGGUCCUGCCAGGGCUGCCACGUUGCAGGACCCUACCAACCGGUGUUAAAGGGUUUCUUUUUCUUUUUUUUUUUAGUUCACUUCUUCGGUUCUGUUUAUUGUUUAUAUAUAAUAUAUAAUAAUAGGUUUUUCAAUACAUGUUUUGCUGAUACAAUAAUAUAUUUAUAUUACACGCAUAUUAAGCAUAUAUAUAAAUGAAAAUUAUAGGCUAAGCUUAAUAGUUAAGCUUUGCCUAUAAUAAAAUAAAUAGACCACAUCAAAAAUUAAAUAGAUAUGUAAAAAGCUUUAUAUAUAUAUAUAUAGUUUUAUAUGUACAAAAUUCGUAACACAUAUAUACAUAGAGUUUGUUCUCCCAAUGUCUACAAACGAUACAAAUGAUCAUCGUUGUUUGGUAUAAGAGUUUCGUUGCCGUUGAAGUGAAACUCGCCGUUUGGAUUGAUCACUUGGUCGCGGAGAAAUCCUGCUAUCGUCUCUUGGAUAGCUUUGAUUCGGUCUUGUUGUAGGACCUUUUCCCUCAGCCAUUCCGUCUUUAAUUUGAAAUAAAUAAAAAAGGUAUUAGUUAUCUAAGUUAUUCAAUAUAAUUCAGGAGAUAAUGAAAAGAGACAUGUAACGUACUCUGAGCGUCUCUGUGGGUGUUUGAUUGACUUGUGCCAUCAUGAAUUUGCACACGUAAUAUGCACAUAGAUUGUUCCCUCCUUCUUGUCUUAAACACCACUGUACGAUGUAUAUAUAUAUAAAAAUAUUCAUAACCACGACAAUAAGAAGGCUAAAAGUUAGCGAAAGUUUGUUAGCUAGUAGAACUUACUUGUGGAUGUAUUAUGUUAAGCGGCGCUUUACAUCCACUGAGAUGUUCACGGUCAAUGAAUCUUUCCCAAACCCUAUACACAGCCAUUGUGGAUCGUGAACUAAUAAUUACAGAGUCAUAUUAUGAUAUUUUUGUAGCUGAGAUCGACAUUACGUACCUUUGAAUAAUGUUUACCAUUUGUUGAUAAUUUUCUUGUGGUUUUCUCAUUGAGUCAAAGAUUAUCAAUCGGUUCUUGGGAAUUUCAAUGACCAUGAGUAUCCAGUGAAAGCUGUUUACACACACAUAUAUAGGGUCAGUCCUAUAAUGUAAAAUAAAAUAUGCAUGCACUUAAUAACUAUAUAACUCACUCGAAGUUGAAGGGGAAGAGUAUUUUUUGUUUUUCUUUUUGGUUUACAAAGAACCUCAUAAGAUUGGUGCAGAUUUCUGUCUCAUAAUCUGCUGUCCACACUGCCUGCGGAGCCUUGAAAACAAUAUAAGGGUCAACGAACCCAAUACUAUUGUCAUUUCUCAUUCUGAGCUCUCUCAUUUGGUGCCUGCAUAUAUACAUACAAAUCCUAAGUGUGUAAGGAUUAUAUACAUGUAAUUAAAGAAGUUAGAAGUAUAAUAAAAAGGAAAAAUACUUACAGACAAAAGCAGCUGACAAGAGAUUUGUCAAGAGCGUCGAGGUGGCAUAAUUGGUGCAAUUCUUCGAACUGCACGUAUAUGAGGUCAUCUCCACGGAAGUAGUGAUGUUGUCUAAUACGAACAGAAAUCCAAUUCUCUCCCCUUUUAGACGCCUCAAUGCACCAUUUGUUUAUUGCAAACAUUUGUGUGCCGAGCUCGUGUAAACGCUUAGGGUCGAAUAGACUCCUGCCCGGUUCAUAUCUUGCCCUCCAUUGAUCAACUACCUCGGCUUUUUCAAAUGUAUGACAUCCAAGAAUGGCGGUAAUUUCUUCUAUAUUUAAACCGCUCUGUCCAAAGUAACUCUCAAGCGAGUCUAGCUCAGACAACGCUAAGGAUUUCUUUGGCAUCAAGUCUUCAUUUGAGCCGUAUUGAUUUGGCACAAUCAAAGGGGGCACCGGUUUUGAUACUUCUCCGAGCUGUGGGACCCCCUUUCCUACUCUCUUCUUAGUAGGCUGUGAAGACUUGACCAGAGACCGCUCAUAGUCCGAAAGUGCUGGCUUUUUCUGAGCUUCGCGUUGCUUCUUUUGAUGGUCCGCCACCUUCUGCCUCAGUUCCGAUGGCUUCACAUAAAAGUACGGCUUUUCUGGGUUAAGUCGUUUUUUCCUUUCCUCCUUUAUUUUAUCAAAAAAUUGUUGAACCUCAGCUUUAGAUGUAGCAAUUACCUCCUCUUCACUCUUUUCGUAAGGUAAUUUUUCUGGCGUCUUAGCUCUCUUUGCUGAGGCAGCCUUCUUUGGAGGUGGGACCGAUGACUUCGGUCCUUCUUGGACGGACCGCUUCUUACUACCUCGCUUUGGAGGCGAGGGGACCGACCGUGCACUCUUUGGAGAGGGCGGUGCAGGCGGUGGAGGGGGUGGGGCCGAUCUUUUUGGCGUUGGAGAACGCGGUGGAGGAGUUGGAGAACGCGGUGGAGGAGUUGGAGACCUCGGUGGAGGAGGUGGAGACCGUGGUGGAGGCGGUGGCGGGGUCGGUGUGGCCGCCGCAGGUGUUGGAGGAGAUCCAGCAUUGUCACCGCCCGCAGCACUAUGAUGCGCUGGGGAGAGAACUGGACUUAGGUUGGAGGAGUCCCUGCAAAGAAAACAAUUACAAGUUUUGUGAGUAAACUUUUUUUAAAUUUCAAUACAUAAUAAAUAAUAUAAGAAGUAAAAUCACACACAAACCUAUGCUGAGGAAUAAUUAUGAAGCGCUUGCGCCAACAAAUAAAUGUCUUCUCAGCUUCACCUAAGGUCUUCUCUCCGUCUCCCCCUUCUAUGUCUAGUGGCACAUUGCCACAACCUUUCUCAACCCUAUCAACCGAGACGCUAGCAUAUCCACCAGGUACUGGUCGAUUAUGGAUUCUUGGAGUGCCCGUUCGGUCGAUAGGGUUGACAACAGCGAUAGCCACCUUUUUGGUGGCAUUCCCAUCUGGUACAUGCAGCUCACAGGUAGUAAAAGCCUCUGUGACAUCAUCCACGGGGAAGUGUAGCUUCGUGUCAUCCUGAAUGGUUGGUACUUCCGUGGAUGCGCAGCUGCUUUUCAACUGGCCUGGGGGGCUAACAUUGACCUCAGGCUGUGAUGUACCUUGCCCUUUCGUCAUUUGACUAAGUGCUGCUUGCACUUGCCUUUGAAUCUCUGCCUGCAUCCAUUCUUCACGAGCUUUCUCGCGCUCUUGUGACUGCAGAACAAAAGCUUCCAGGCGGCGGAUCCGCUCUGCCUCCUCAUCCUUCUUUCUCUGGCGGCUUCUGUAGGUAUCUUGAUCGGCUUGGAAUGAUUGCAGCCACGGAACUGCCCCAUAGCCUCUCGUACGCCCACCGUGCUCAGGAUUUUCAAGCGCAUAGGUGAGUUCAUCCUUCUCCCUGUUAGGCCUGAACUCACCAGACUGAACCGCCUCACGUGCACGGACUAGUCUCUCUGCUGCUCUAGAGAUUUCUUGGCCCCAAACUAGCGCCCCGGUGUCUGGGUCCACGCUUCCCCCAUGACCGUAGAACCAAUGCUUGGAGCGCUCGCUCCAAUUCUUUGCUAUUGUCUCGGGUGUGACCCCCCUAGCAAGCAUCUCCUGUUCCAUUCGGUCCCACUUGGGAGCAGCACUCUUAUAACCACCUGAUCCCAUAUGAUGGUGGUAUGCCUUUUUACUGGCAUUCUCUUUGUUUCUAUUGGCUCGUUCCUCGCCCUCUUCUGAUGUUUUGUACUGCACAAAGUCAUCCCAGAAGGCCCUCAGCUUUACAUAUUGCUUGAGGUUGAAAUCUGGAGUCUCGUUUUUCUUGACAUAUUUAUUGUACAAAGACUUCUUCCAAUUCUGGAAGAGUACUGCCAUCUUCUUCAUAGUCCAGUCAUAAAUUCGCACCUUCAACUCUUCAUCGUUGGUGUCGAAGGUGAAAACGUCUGUGACGGCUUUCCAAACUAACUCCUUGUCACGAUCAGAGACAAAACUGAUCUCAGGAGCACCUCGCUUCUCUCUCCAUUCACGACAACUGAUCGGUAUUUGAUCUCUCACAAGAUAUCCACAGUGAUUAACAUAUUUAUUUGCAUGCUCACCAAGUGGUCUGCCUGUAGCUAUCUCAAACUCAGAGAUUACAUAGCGGCCCUCCAACGGCUUCUUUGGUCCUCGUGGAGGUACGCUUCUCCCCGUAGAGGUCGAUCCAGAAGGCUACACGUACAUAUAGAAACAAAAAUACUAAAUUAAUAACCAAGUAAUAAGUCUAAAACCUAAUGUAAGAGAUGCAUUAUUUAUAUAUGUUUACAUUUACAUACCUCGCCAGUAUUUUCUUCUUGUUGCACGACAAGUUGUUGCUCAGGGGCAUUGCCCUCUUGUUGCUCAGUAGGAUUACCUUGCAUGAUGUCGUGGUAAUCAGCAAAGUACUGACUACCGUCGUCGAUCAUAUUUUGAAUGGCAUCUUCCAUAUAAUCAGGAUCAUCAUGAGGACGAUCAGCCAUUUCUAUGUCUGCAACCAUACAUAUAUAUAUAUUCUAUAUAAGAUAAGAAAUACACUAAUACUACUACAAAUGAAAGUGUUGGAGUGCUCUAAAAAUAAUACUAGGAUCUUUUAAGCCAAGUAAUACAUUAGAAUAAAAAACAAUACUAGAAUAAUAUAUAGUACAAACAAUAUUACAUAUAUAUGUGUGUGUAUAUGUACAAAAAAUAAUAUACAUACAUACAAAAAAUAAUACAUAUAUAAAAAAAUAGAACAUACAUACAUACUAUAUACUAAAAAUACUACAAGAAUAUAUAUUACAAGAAUACUACAAAAAUAAUGAAAGUGUUGGAGUGCUCUAAAAAUAAUACUAGAAUCUUAAGCCUAGUAAUACACUAGAAUAAUAUACUAAAAGAAUAAUACUAGAAUAAUAGUACAAACAAUAAUAUAUACAAAACACUACAAAAUAAAAUAUAAUACAAGAAUAAUACAAGAAUAAUAGUACAAACAAUAAUAUAUACAACACACUAGAAAUAAAAUAUGAUACAAGAAUAAUACAAGAAUAAUAUACUUCAAAUAAUAUACUAAAAAAAUAAUACUACAAAUAAUAUACUAAAAAAAUAAUACUACAAAAUAAUACAAGAAUAAUAUUAAUAUAUUACAAAUAUAUACUAGCAUAAUAUAAUUUAUAACAGGUCAACACUACACUUAUACUAAUGUACUAAAAACUAUUACUAGAAUAAAAUACUAACAUCAUGCAUUAUUUUUUAGUGUGUAUAUAUAUAUACUUAAUAUAUAUACUAGCUAGCAUUCAUUAAUUAUUAUUUUUGUGUACAAAUAUAUAGAAAUCACUAAAAUUGCAAAGUGAUUGACAUAUAAUUCAUAACAUUUAUUUAUUUUAUAUAUAUAAACUGCAGUGGAGUAUUUAUUAUAUAUAUAUGGUUUUGGAUUAUACAUUGCAGUGGACGCGCGCGGGGCCGGGCGUGGAGAUCGAGACGUAGAUGGCGGCGCUGGUGGAGAUGGUGGUCGCGGCGGCAGCGCUGGUGGCCGGAGCUGGAGACGGCGGCGCUGGAGAUCGGCGAGGUCGCGCGCGGGCAGAUGAACGGGCGGCGGCGCUGGAUACGAUGAACUCGACGAAGACGAAGAGGAACUGCUCAGAUCCAGGACGCCCAUGACUUAAAUAGAGGCGGACCCUUUAGCACCGGUCCGUGGCUGGAACCGGUGCUAAAGGGCCUUUAACACCGGCUGGUGUUACGCGCCGGUGUUAAAGGGUCACCCUUUAGCACCGGCUCGUGUUACCAGCCGGUGCUAAAGGACCUUUACACCGGUUCUAGCCACGGACCGGUGCUAAAGGGUCCUAGGCGGGCUCGGGCGGGGUCCUGAAAUUUUCAGGACCCUUUAGCACCGGUUCCCACUAUGGGCCGGUGCUAAAGGCCCAUUUUUUUAGUUUAGGGUUUUUCAAUUGUUUUAUAUAUACAGUUUAUAUUAUAAAUUGUAUAGUAAAUUAAAUAUUUUGCAUAAUGUUUUUUAAAUAGUGACAUAUAUUGUAAUUUGUUUUAAUGUACACAUGAAAAUUUUUAAACUUAAAUAUCUUAUUGUAUUUUUAUAAUUUACAAUGAUUUUGUAAGAAAUGUUUAGUAUUUUGUUAAUGCAAAAAUAUAUUAUUCCAAUAAAUUUACAAAAACUAUAUCCAAUGAACUGGAAAUUUAUUUUCACAUCAUAUUGACGUAAAACUUUUUAUUUUUGUUAUUUAUUACUAGGAAUGCUACUUGGGUAUAAUUUUCAUCAAAUAAAAAAUCAUAUAAACAAAUGGGCUAUUUGACCAAGUUUGACCAAAGUCAAAGCAUUGGUUUUUACAAACACACCCUUUGACCGAACCCUAGAUUGUCCCAAAUGGAACAGUCAUGAAUACAAGGUUUGCUACACUCAUCAAGUUCUACAUUUUGUCUAAUGGUCCACUUUUCAUUUGGAAAAGUUUGAACCACUGAAUUUUGAAUUUUCAUGGAACUCAUAGCCACGCAGCGGUUUCGGAACCCUACAUGGUCUCGAAUGGAAAAGUCAUGAAUACCAAUAUUGUUCCACUCAUCAAAAUCUACAUUUCAUAUAUAGACCAUUUUUGCAUUUGACAAAGUUUUGGGAAGGCGUAGUUGAAAAUCCACAAUUGACACAUAUAGUUUCAUAUAGUUUGUGUGAGAACUUAGAAUUGGUGGGUAUUGUUAACUUAGAUUUUCUCAAAUGGAAAAGUUGUGUAUAUAAAAAGUUUAGAUCUUGAAGAUAUCUAACAACUUGGUAUUCAAAAUAUUUUCAUUUGAAGUAAUUUAGUUUGUCAUUUGACCAAGUUUGACCGAAACCCGUCUUGGAUUUUAUAGAAAUGUAACUAGAAUUGGCUCAAAAUUAUCCAAAUGGAAAAAUGGACAAUAUAUAAAAUAUAGAUUUUGAUGAUCUCUAACAACUUUGUAUUCAAACUUUUUUCAUUUCAAGUCAUCAAAUGGGCUAUUUGACCAAGUUUGACCAAAGUCAAAGCAUUGGUUUUUACAAACACACCCUUUGACCGAACCCUAGAUUGUCCCAAAUGGAACAGUCAUGAAUACAAAGUUUGCUACACUCAUCAAGUUCUACAUUUUGUCUAAUGGUCAACUUUUCAUUUGGAAAAGUUUGAACCACUGAAUUUUGAAUUUUCAUGGAACUCAUAGCCACGCAGCGGUUUCGGAACCCUACAUGGUCUCGAAUGGAAAAGUCAUGAAUACCAAUAUUGUUCCACUCAUCAAAAUCUACAUUUCAUAUAUAGACCAUUUUUGCAUUUGACAAAGUUUUGGGAAGGCGUAGUUGAAAAUCCACAAUUGACACAUAUAGUUUCAUAUAGUUUGUGUGAGAACUUAGAAUUGGUGGGUAUUGUUAACUUAGAUUUUCUCAAAUGGAAAAGUUGUGUAUAUAAAAAGUUUAGAUCUUGAAGAUAUCUAACAACUUGGUAUUCAAAAUAUUUUCAUUUGAAGUAAUUUAGUUUGUCAUUUGACCAAGUUUGACCGAAACCCGUCUUGGAUUUUAUAGAAAUGUAACUAGAAUUGCCUCAAAAUUAUCCAAAUGGAAAAAUGGACAAUAUAUAAAAUAUAGAUUUUGAUGAUCUCUAACAACUUUGUAUUCAAACUUUUUUCAUUUCAAGUCAUCAAAUGGGCUAUUUGACCAAGUUUGACCAAAGUCAAAGCAUUGGUUUUUACAAACACACCCUUUGACCGAACCCUAGAUUGUCCCAAAUGGAACAGUCAAGCCGACACAACAGUGAACUUCUUCUUGACGUAUGACCCUUGGUUAUGAUCCUGCCGUAACCAUGGAGUAUCCUCAUUGUUUAACAGAAUGCUUGGGUCUUUGUUGACUAUGAAGGGCGGAAUUCGAUCAUCCCUUUCGUAAUCGCCUGACAUGUCUGACUUGUCCUCAAUUCCGACAAUGUUUCUUUUCCCAGAAAGGACAAUGUGGCGCUUUGGCUCAUUGAUGAUUGAGUGGUCAUCAUUUUUUCCUCUCUUUGGUUUCGUAGACAUAUCUUUGACAUAGAACACCUGACUCACGUCUGCAGCAAGGACGAAUGGUUCGUCUUUGAACCCACUAUUGUUAAGGUCCACGGUUGUCAUCCCAUACUCCUUGUCGACUGUUACCCCACCUCCGGUCAUCUUCACCCAUUGGCACCGGAACAAAGGAACUUUAAAAUUAGCUGCAUAGACUAGUUCCCAUAUGUCUUCUAUGCGUCCAUAAUAUGUUUGCCUGUUCCCAUUUGGAUCCGUGGCAUCCACGCGUACACCACUAUUUUGGUUGGUGCUCCUUUUAUCUUGGCCAACUGUGUAAAAUGUGUUACCAUUUAUCUCGUACCCUUUGUAUGUGAGGACAUGCCAUGAUGGUUGCCUGGCCAACAAAUAAAGCUGCUCAUCAAUGUUUUCAUCACCUUGACAUUUUUUGCGCAACCAAUCGCCAAAAGUUUCCAUGUGCUGACGCAUUAUCCAAGCUUCAUUCUUCCCGGGCCACUGGGACCGUAGGUAAUCUUUGUGUACCUCAACAUAUGGUUCCACCAAUGAGGAGUUCUGGAGAACUGUGUAGUGUGCUUUAUUGAAGUAAUCGUUUCCCGUACCAAUAUAUGUUUUCUUCCCAAGUGUUCCCUUUCCGCUGAGUCUGCCCUCGUGUCGAGAUUCAGGAAUGCCAAUUGGGUCAAGGUCUGGAAUAAAGUCAACACAGAACUCUAUGACCUCCUGUGUUCCGUAGCCCUUGGCAAUGCUUCCUUCUGGCCGGGAACGACUAUGGACAUAUUUCUUUAGGACACCCAUGAAUCUCUCGAAGGGGAACAUGUUGUGUAGGAACACAGGACCGAGAAUACGAAUCUCUUUGACCAGAUGAACUAGGAGGUGUGUCAUGAUAUCGAAGAAGGAUGGAGGGAACACCAACUCAAAGCUGACGAGACAUUGAACGACAUCAUUCUGCAGAGUAGCUAGUUGCUCUGGAUUGAUUGCCUUCUGAGAAAUUGCAUUGAGGAAUGCACAUAGCUUUACGGUGGCUAGACGUACGUGUGGAGGUAGAAUUCCUCUUAAAACGACCGGCAGCAAUUGCGUCAUUAGAACGUGACAGUCAUGGGACUUCAAGUUCAGGAAUUUCUUUUCUGGCACAUUAAUUAUUCCCUUGAUAUUGGAGGAGAAUCCAGAUGGGACCUUGAUGCUGCUAAGACAUUCAAACAUGCUUUCCUUCUCUUCUUUGCUCAGAGUGUAGCUAGCAGGGCUUAAGUAAUGACGUCCAUCAUCUGUCUUUUCUGGAUGCAGGUUGUCUCGUUCUUUCAUGCGCUGCAAGUCUUGUCGUGCUUCAAGUGAAUCCUUAGACUUCCCGUAGACACCCAUGAAUCCGAGCAAGUUCACACAAAGAUUCUUUGUCAGGUGCAUCACGUCGAUCGCGUUGCGGACCUCUAGGACAUUCCAGUAAGGUAGCUCCCAAAAUAUGCAUUUCUUCUUCCACAUGGGUACGUGUCCCUUAGCAUCCUUGGGAAUAGGUUCGCUGCCUCGUCCCUUUCCAAAUACCACUUUUAUAUCCUUGACCAUUUCGAGUACAUCAUCCCCGGUUCGAUUGAGAGGUUUGGUCCGGUGGUCUGCCUUGCCUUUAAAAUGCUUGCCUUUCUUUCGUACUGGGUGGUUCACAGGAAGAAACCGACGGUGGCCAAGGUACACGACCUUUCGACAUUUUUUCAAAAAUACACAGUCAAGGUCUUCAUAACAAUGUGUGCAUGCAUUAUAUCCCUUGUUUGACUGGCCUGAAAGAUUACUCAGAGCUGGCCAAUCAUUGAUUGUUACAAACAGCAAUGCUCGUAGGUCAAAGUGCUCUUGUUUGUACUCAUCCCACACGCGAACUCCUGGUUUGCUCCAUAAAAGUUGAAGUUCCUCAACUAAUGGCCUAAGGUAGACAUCUAUGUCAUUGCCAGGUUGCUUCGGUCCUUGGAUAAGCACCGGCAUCAUAAUAAACUUCCGCUUCAUGCAUAGCCAUGGAGGAAGGUUGUAGAUACAUAGAGUAACUGGCCAAGUGCUGUGACUACUGCUCUGCUCACCGAAAGGAUUCAUACCAUCUGUACUUAAGGCGAACCGCAAGUUUCUAGCAUCAUUUGCAAAAUCUGAGAAUUCUCUGUCUAUCGCUCUCCACUGGGAUCCAUCGGCAGGGUGUCUCAGCAUAUUGUCUAUCUUACGGUCUUCUUUAUGCCACCGCAACAACUUUGCAUUGUCCUUAUUUCUGAACAGACGUUUUAAUCGUGGUAUUAUAGGAGCAUACCACAUAACCUUGGCUGGAAUUUUCUUCCUAUGACGUUCUUCACCCUCAACAUCGCCAGGAUCAUCUCGUCUAAUCUUAUACCGUGAUGCCUUACAUACUGGACAUGCAUCCAAAUUCUCGUAUUCCUCCCCACGGUAGAGGAUGCAGUCAUUAGGACAUGCGUGUAUCUUCUGGAUUUCUAAUCCCAAAGGGCAGACAACCUGUUUUGCUUCAUACGUAGUGGUGGGCAAUUCGUUGCCUUUCGGAAGCAUCUUUUUUAUGAUCUUCAAUAACUGCCCAAAUGCCUUGUCAGAUGUACCAUUCUUUGCCUUCCAUUGCAGCAAUUCUAGUGUGGUACCCAGCUUUUUUUGCCCCUCUUCAGCGGUGGGAUAUAGCGAUUUCCUGUGGUCCUCUAGCAUGCGCUCGAACUUGGCUUUCUCUUUAUCACUUUCACAUUCUCUUUGUGCAUCACGGAUGGCAUCACCAAAAGCAUCAUCGCCCCGAUCAUCUUCUGCCGCCACCUCUUCUUCAUUAUCUCCCCCCAUUGCAACAUCAUUGAAGCCACCGUACUGAGCAAUAAUAUUGGCAUGGUCCAAUUCUUCUUCUUCUUCUUCUUCUUCACCUUCAUCCAUUAUAAUCCCGCUUUCUCCAUGUUUGGUCCAACAAAUAUAGUUUGGUACGAAACCAGACUUUAAUAAGUGUGAAUGAAGAGUUCUUGAGUUAGAAUAUUCCGUCAAAUUCUUGCACACGGCACAUGGACAGCACAUGAAACCGUCCCUCUUAUUUGACUCGGCCACACUUAAGAAAUAGUGCACGCCAUUAAUGAACUCUUCGGAGCGCCGAUCGGCAUUAUACAUCCAAUUACGUGUUACCAUCUGCAUUAAAGAUAACAUAUAUAUUAUGAAAACCAUGCACACAUAUAGUUUCUCAUCUUAUUGCACAACAUGUCUAAGAUACAUAGUUGAUUAAUUUAGAAAAGCUUGGCUACAACAAAUACAAUCGCAACUAGCAUUAAAAAAAAUAAAACUAAAAUGCACUUAAGCAACAUAAUUAGUUCGCGUCCGAUCCCAACUAUAAUAGAUAGAUCAUUCGCUUGAUCAACUUCAUUGAACUUCUUUCGUCGGCUCACUGCCUCACCACCUUCAGCCUCAACCACCUGUGCAAAAGAUUUCUUAAUGUGUUCAAUGUAUUCUUCCUCCCAGUACCAACCUGUACAUCCGCCGGUACCGUUCCACUGAAAUUAAAAGAGAGAAUCAAAAGUUUAAUUAAUAUCAUUUAAAAAAAUAUGCACAUAUAUAAGCAAAUGUCUGGAAAUAACUCACAUUACGAUCUGGACACUUGUAGAAUAUACGACCCUUGUUUACUCCCUCUUUCGACACUUUGUACUCCAUCAAAAUCUUCUGCCCACACUUGCCACAAGUAAUGAGAGGGAGUUCCGGACGGUAUCGCUUUUGAACCCGUUGAGAGACGGAAGACCCGGUCACGGUUGCCAUCUACUAUCCAUACUCAAUUUUAAAACAAUUAUAAAUUCCACAUUUACUAGUAAACAUGUAUGAUACAAUGGACAUUAUAUGUAGUAAUAAAAAUAAAUCAAGUGAUAUUAACAAACCAAUUAAUUUGAACUAUCCUACUUUCUAUGAUCAUAAAAAUAUACUAUAAUUCAUUCUUGCAAAAUAUAUUAAAACUAGGUCAACCAUGAAAUAUGAUAUAUAUAUAUGGAUACUAAUUCAUGUGAAUGAUUCAAAAUAACAAAGUGGAUUUGAGCUAAAAAAUGAUGGGAACAUCACAAGCCAAAAACAACAUGAAAAAGAUAAGAAAGGCUGAAGUUAGUCACCUCUAAGCGCGAAGAGUCGAAGAAGAUCAACGAUGGGCGUUGGAGAUGAAGAACAAAUGAAGAACAAGCAAGAAGAAGCUCCAAGAACAACAAUGGUGCUCUCGGUUUCAAAUGGGCAGAGGGGAGGAGGGAGCCGGCCUAUAAACCGGACCUUUAGCACCGGUUCAGAGCAAAAACCGGUGCUAAAGGGUUACCUUUUAGCACCGGUUUGUAACACAAACCGGUGCUAAAGGGUUGGCCUCGGCCCGGGGCUCCGGCCGGUGCUAAAGGGACCCCUUUAGCACCGGUUUGUAAUACGAACCGGUGCUAAAGGGUCUCUGCCCCGACAGCACCUGUCAGUAGCCGUUGGGCAGGACCCUUUAGCACCGGUUCGUGUUACGAACCGGUGUUAAAGGGGUCUUUAACCCCGGGCCGCAAAAUGGCCGAGGUUUUUGGCCAUUUUAGGCAUCAACCAAUGCCUCAUUCUGUAGUAGUGUAGUUCAUGGAAAACACAGCUACGGGAGCGAGCAAGGCCAGUAGUGGGAGAGCACCGGAGCCGCGUUUUACACAUCAUACAUUCCCUUUCCUUUGGAAAGGAUUUCAGCUUUCGUUCAUUCCAAAUGCAUCCAUAGGAUUCAUUUCUUUUGGAAAGUUUUCCUCCAAAAUUCCUGUGAAAAACUCAUAAUACAUGCAUACUCAUCCAUAUGAAUACACAUACUAAAUCCUACCCAUAUGAGUACUUAACUUUCUGAUUUUCGGGAAUGACUAGUUCAGCACCAAACAAACUCAGCAAUUACAACAGUCUCUGUCACUACUCAAGUCAAUUAAACAGUUUCUAAUUAUGUUUCCACUUAAGUAGGAAUACAAACAACACCAAUAAAAGACAAAUUCACUACUCAAGUCAAUUAAACCAUUUCUAAUUCUGUUCCUGCAGAUGCUGGUUCAGUAGGGACACACAAACUAUUACCGCUUCUUUCUGCAGAUGUGCUCCCUGGCGCACAGGCGACACCUCCUGGAGCCUGCGAUCGGUGGCGCACAAGCGACAGCGGCGCCCACUGCUGCAAAAAUGAGUUAAGAGACACUGACAAAGGCGGUAGCUGAUAAUUUUUAGGUCGUGUUUAGUUGAUGAAAAGAAAAAUUUCGUGACAGGCUUAAAAAAUUUGUCUCAUACAUUUCGACCGAACUGUACCAUUAAUUUUUAUUUUCAUCUAUAUUUAAUACUCCAUGCAUACGUCUAAAGAUUUGAUGUGACAAGGAAUCUUGAAAAAUUUUGGAUUUUUGAAUGGAAGUAAACAAGGCCUUAAAGACGAACCUUUUUAUUUACGAAGACAGUCAUAAAAUACUUUAGGGAGGUGGUCAAUUUAUUUACAUCUAUCUAGAAAAUCGAUUUACAGAAAUGGUGGCACAAUAACCACCUCCAAAAGUUGAUUAACGGAGGUCACUCUUAACAGAUCCAUAUCAAAAAAAUUAAGUAUAGUUUAAAAAUUCAUGCGAUAUAAAUAAGAAAAAGACAACCACCUUUGUAAAAUCACAUAUAACUGAAAUCAGAGAGGUAAAAUGAACGAUCUUAAUAAAUGUUAAAGGAGAUAAUUUAUCCGGUUCUAAAGUUCAGGUAGACUUUGAGAGGAUAUAGUUCAUGAAGUAAAAUGGAUUUUUUCCCGGUUAUUACGAACAACUAAAAAGGACCUGCCUGCAUGUUCCAACGUGGCUCAGGAAUGCCGGCCCGGCCCAUCAUCAUGCAAUCACCCGCCGCUCCCCCCGGCCUUUCUGCUCUGUUCUUCUCCUAUCUCCUGUCCCCUGUCCCCGCAGCAGAGCAGCCAGUCACCACCUCGCCGCCGCAAUAGCGCUCCCGCUCGCAAACCGCAAUGCCUCCCGACGGCGACGCCGCCCCCCACGGCGGCAGACGAGCUGCAGAGCCUGAGCUUUGGCUUCUCCUCGGACCACUACCGCCUCCACCGUCUCCGACUCUCCGCUGCAAGAGCCUAAGGCCGGCUUAUUUCGUCGUCUAUAUUUUCCUACUAAUUUGUAGGAUUAAUUUACGAACGUGGAUUAUUGACUAAAUAUCAAGAAAGAUAGUACAUAUGAAACUUGGACACGGAAAAAAAAAACGUACUACAAGUCCACAACAGUGAUCACAGUUUGACAGCGCGUUCCACGAGAGAAUAAUAAAGACAAAGAAGUGCACAGCACGAGGUCUCGAUCGUCUCAUCAGCUCGGUGCCGUGCUGACGAUCUCCCUGAGCUGCCGGACGAACUCGUCGGCGAACUUCCCCUGCACGGCGUCGUCCGUGAAGAAGUCGGUCCACUUCUUCCUCGCGUCGUCUCCUCCGCCUCCGUCGUUCGCCACCGCCGCGGCGACCGCGUCGCACACGUCGUGGCGCCCGAACCACCCGUCCUCGUCGCGGCGCGCCACCUCGACGCCCACGCGGAGCUCGCGCGCGAACAGCGCCGCGUUCAGGUACUGGUCGCCCUUCAUGGGCAGCAGCACGAGGCGGCAGCCGGCGACGAGCCCCUCGACGACGGAGCUGAACCCGGCGUGGGUCACGUAGCAACCCACGCUGCGGUGGCGCAGGAUGUGCUGCUGCUGCACCCACCCGCUGUGCACGAUUCCUCUCCCGGACACCCUCUCCUUAAACCCCGGCGGCGUGACGACGACGGCCGCACCGCCGCCGUCGUCAGGGGAGUUGAGCACGGCGAGGAACGGGCGGCCGGUGGCCUCCAGGCCCAGCAGGAGCUCCGUCGCCGCGGCGGGCGGCAGGAACGUCUCGCUGCCGAACGACGCGAAGACCACGGCGCCGUCCGGGAACGCGGACAGCCAGGUGGCCCAGCGCUCGUCCAGCAGCUCGUCGCCGCGCGGCGGGUCCGGCACCAGCGGCCCCGCCGUCAGCACGGGCUUCCGGAACUGCGCGGCGAGGUAGUCGACGUACGCGGCCUCCAUGUCGGCGCAGGUCUUGAGCACGACGCCGUCGCAGGCCCGGAUGCCGGCCACCACGCGUUCGUAGACACAGGGCUGGCCGCCGAAGCUGGUGAACACGUAGGUGAAGUCGGCGGCCUGGUACGCCGGAACGCCGGUGGCGGCGAGCGGGGAGGAGGCGGGAAAGCCUGCGGGGCCGGACAUGAGGUCGCGCGCCGAUGGCGGCGGGGAGGCCCCCUCGGGGCGGCGCGCGGGGACGACGAGGUAGGCGCCCGCGAUGGCGGAGAAGACGCUGAAUUGGAGAGACUUGACGCCCAGCGCCGCGGCGUCGUCGGCGGCCCACGGGGUGGCGAAGUCGAGCAGCACGGCGUCCGGCCGGAGCUCGGCUAGCAGCGCGGCCACCUGGGGCCGGGCGCCGUCCAGCGCGACCUUGAGCAGCUCGGCGCCGUCGAGCGAGAGCUCCGCCGUGCUGGCGGCGCCCUCGGGAAGGCCCGGCACGUGGGGCAGGCGCAGCGGCACGAUGGACACCCUGCCGCCGGCGGACGAGGAGGCCGAGGAUAGCAUGGCCUCGACGCGCGGGACGUUCCCGGCGGCCGUGACGAACGUGACGCGGACGGAGGAGGAGGAGGCCAGCAGCCUCCGUGCUAGCUGCGCGAACGGGACGAUGUGGCCGAAGGCGAGCCACGGGAGCAUCAGCACGUGCAUGGCCGGCGCGGCGUCGCGGUUGCCUCCUCCGCCGGGCGGCAUGGUGGUGCGUGUUCGAUCCUGGACCAGUGGAGUAUUGGAGCCUAUAGAAAGAGGUGACAGGUGAGGGUGAGGAGCGAUCAGUACGGGUGGAAGCCACACGUCUAGCUAGUAGCUACACUGUACCCGCCAAUAUAUACAAUACCCUCCGUCCUAUUUUCCAAUUUCCACGAAGUCCAACAUGUAUUGAUAUUUUUAUUGUAUAAUUAAUCUAUACCUCUAUACCUAUCUAUAAAGAGCCAAAAUUUUAGUCUGCCAAAUAUUUUCUUCUGCCUGAUCCUGUCCGUGUCGGUUUACCAAUCGCCUCCUCCGUCCAACGUUUCUAGGACAAAAAUAAAAUAAAAAAUAUUCUAAGGUUCCUAAUGCAAAAUCUCAUAUUACUCCGCUCCAGUCGCUCGCCUCUGUAGGCCCAAUCAAGCCAACCGGAAUCGGUACGAUGGAAGAGAAAAAAGAAUAAAAAUUUUUCUAAGGUUUCCAAUAUAAAAUCUCCAAUUUACUUUUCUUUUAUUUUUUAAAUCGGCUGAAAAUUAAUAAAUGCAUAAUAAUUCAUAGAAAAAUUUAAAAAUUAUAAAACAAAUUUUGUUCAGCUCCACAUAUGUAGAUCCAUGCAGUAAACAAAAGAUAUCACAAAUUUUAGUACACUUUUUUUUUGGAAAUGCUUGCUUAUGCUUUUUACUGUAAAAUUAAAAUUGUAGUUAUCUUACUCCAAUUAUUAUAAAAAUUUAAUGUUAGCCUAUUUAAUGAGAUGCUUGAUUCAUAUUUUAUAGCAAUCCUAAUCUAAAUUAAAAAAAUAAUACUAGCAUCAAACUUCUCAUGUUUUAAUAUAAUACUGAGGCAUAUUAAGAGGUAAUAUUAGAGUGAGAUAAGAUUUAACUAUUUUCUAUUAUUAUUAUUAAAUAAAUAUGUCUUUAAGCUACAUAUUAUUGUAAAUAUUAACUAUCUAAUACCAUAGAUAUGUUAUGGUUAUCAAUAAAAUAUAUUAUGGACUUUAAAUUUUAUAAAAAGGAUAAAUAUAAAUAGAUAUGUAACAUUAUGUCAUCACUUUCUAAGGUUAUUUGAUGUUUUUCUUCCGUUGCAAUAUUACCAAAUUGAGGAAAAGCAAUUUCUUUUAAAAAAAAAUUUGUGGGCCUCGGCCCCCACUCCUCCCAUGGCUCCGCUCCCCAUCCCCGUCCACCGGCCAAUCGCUCCCAUCCCCGUUCCGCCGCCGCCACUUCCUCCGCCGGGGGUGGAGGCGAGGCCGACUACGAGGUCUCCGACGACCACCGCGCCGUGUGGGAGCGUCACGAGCAAUUGGUGCAGGAGCUCCUCUAGCGGCGCCGCGCCUACGCCAUGGCCGUGCGGGCCUGCCUCCGCCGCCUCGGCGAGCGAAAAAUGGAGCGCCGCGACCGCCUCGGAGCCCUCAUGGUCCGGCUCGAGGCCGAUGGCUAGGUCGACCGUCUCCUCCGCGCGCAGGAGGACGACCACGCAGCACGCACCGGCGAGGAGGAGCAGAUCCAGUACCCCUUCUUCACCAAGGGCACGCAGGAGCUUCUCAAUGCGCGUGUCGACAUUGCACAGUACUCGUUGCCCCGUGCCAAGGCCAGAAUUGAGAUGGCCAAGCGCUGCCACGAGGAUUCCGAUGAGGACCCAGAGGCGGAGGCCGAACUCGUCGUGAAGCAGGCUGGGGAGUUUGUCCUGGAGUGUAGCGAGAUUGGAGAUGAUCACCCUCUCAUCGGUUGUUCCUUCUCUUGUGAUGCAUCAAUGCUGGCCACAAGGUACUUCCUCUUAAUCAUACGGAAUUACAUAUGCUUUGUUCAUGUAUGUCUCAAACAAAUGCUGUGAUGAAAGGAUGUUGAGAACUGUUACCUAUUAAUUGUAUUAUUAUGUGGCGGCUGUGGCUAUGGACUUUUGUCACUAACUGUGCCGCUGGUUUUGCUUUGGAUUGUACAAAAAGUGGACUGAUCUGACGUGCUGUUUGAUAGAAUUGUUCUCUCAUGUGAUGCUUUUAUGCUUUCUUUACGUAAUAUUCUUCCCCUUUUAAUUUCUAUACAUAUUUUUUAUAUCAUUUUUACUCUUUUUCUUCCACUGUACAUGAAGAUUUCUGAUUUUUUUAUGGGACAUGAUUUUUUUCUAUUUUUUCUCAAGGUGAUUUCCGAUAUUAGUUUGGUAGUUUUGUUUGUUUUGGUGGGGUUAUAUUUAUUUGAUUCAAGGUUGGACUAAACUCAUUUAAAUUUUACAAAAAUGUACAAUUAUCAAAUAAUAAAUUCUAUACCCCGUUGCAACGUACGGGCAUGUUUUGCUAGUAUAUAUCUAUACCUAUCUAUAAAGAGCCAAAAUUUCAGUUUGCUAAAUAUUUUCUUUUGCCCCCUAAUCCUGUUAGUGCCCCCUAAUCCUGUUAGUGUUCUGUUUGGUUUACCGAUGGCUUCCUCGCUCCAACGUUUCUAAAGGGGUAAAACAAAAUAAAAAACAUUCUAGGGUUCCUAAAGCAAAAUCUCAUUAGGCCCAAUCAGCUCAGGAUCGUUACGAUGGAAGAGAAAAAAAAAAUUUCUAGGGUUUCCAAUGUAAAAUCUCCAAUUUACUUUUCUUUUAUUUUUAAAAUCAGCUGAAAAUUAAUAAAUACAUAGUAAUUCAUAGAAAAAUCUAAAAAUUAUAAAACAAAUUUUGUUCAGCUCCACAUAUGUAGAUCCAUGCAGUAAAACAAAAAAUAUCACAAAUUUUAGUACACUUUUUUUUGGAAAUGCUUGCCUAUGCUUUUUACUAUAAAAUUAAAAUUAUAGUUAUCUUGCUCCAAUUAUUAUAAAAAUUUAAUGGUAGCCUAUUUAAUGUGAUGCUUGAUUCAUAUUUCAUAGCAAUCCUAAUCUAAAUUAAAAAAAUAAUGCUAGCAUCAAACUUCUCAUGUUUUAAUAUAAUACUGAGGCAUAUUAAGAGGUAAUAUUAGAGUGAGAUAAGAUUUAACUAUUUCCUAUUUUUAUUAUUAAAUAAAUAUGUCUUUAAGCUACAUAUUAUUGUAAAUAUUAACUAUCUAAUACCAUAGAUGUUAUGGUUAUCAAUAAAAUAAAUUAUGGACUUUAAAUUUUAUAAAAAUGAUAAAUAUAAAUAGAUAUGUAACAUUAAAAAUGAUAAAUAUAAAUGAUGUUUUUCUUCCGUUGCAAUAUUACCAAAUUGAGGAAAAGCAAUUUUUUUAAAAAAAUUGUGGCCCCCGGCCCCCACUCCUCCCAUGGCUCCGCUCCCCGUCCCCGUCCACCCGCCAAUCGCUCCCAUCCUCGUCCCGCCGCCGCCACUUCCUCCGCCGGGGGCGGAGGCGAGGCCGACUACGAGGUCUGCGACGACCACCGCGCCGUGUGGGAGCAUCACGAGCAAUCGGUGCAAGAGCUCCUCUAGCGGCGUCGCGCCUACGCCAUGGCCGUGCGGGCCUGCCUCCGCCGCUUCGGCGAGCGCGAAAUGGAGCGCCACGACCGCCUCCGAGCCCUCAUGGUCCGGCUCGAGGCCGAUGGCCAGGUCGACCGUCUCCUCCGCGCGCAGGAGGACGACCACGCUGCACGCACCGGCGAGGAGAAGCAGAUCCAGUACCCCUUCUUCACCAAGGGCACGCAGGAGCUUCUCAAGGCGCGUGUCGACAUUGCACAGUACUCGCUGCCCUGUGCCAAGGCCAGGAUUGAGAUGGCCAAGCGCUGCCACGAGGAUUCCGAUGAAGACCUAAAGGCGGAGGCCGAACUCGUCGUGAAGCUGGCUGAGGAGUUUGUCCUGGAGUGUAGCGAGAUUGGAGAUGAUCGCCAAAAUUUCAGUUUGCUAAAUAUUUUCUUUUGCCCCCUAAUCCUGUUAGUGCCCCCUAAUCCUGUUAGUGUUCUGUUUGGUUUACCGAUGGCUUCCUCGCUCCAACGUUUCUAAAGGGGUAAAACAAAAUAAAAAACAUUCUAGGGUUCCUAAAGCAAAAUCUCAUUAGGCCCAAUCAGCUCAGGAUCGUUACGAUGGAAGAGAAAAAAAAAAUUUCUAGGGUUUCCAAUGUAAAAUCUCCAAUUUACUUUUCUUUUAUUUUUAAAAUCAGCUGAAAAUUAAUAAAUACAUAGUAAUUCAUAGAAAAAUCUAAAAAUUAUAAAACAAAUUUUGUUCAGCUCCACAUAUGUAGAUCCAUGCAGUAAAACAAAAAAUAUCACAAAUUUUAGUACACUUUUUUUUGGAAAUGCUUGCCUAUGCUUUUUACUAUAAAAUUAAAAUUAUAGUUAUCUUGCUCCAAUUAUUAUAAAAAUUUAAUGGUAGCCUAUUUAAUGUGAUGCUUGAUUCAUAUUUCAUAGCAAUCCUAAUCUAAAUUAAAAAAAUAAUGCUAGCAUCAAACUUCUCAUGUUUUAAUAUAAUACUGAGGCAUAUUAAGAGGUAAUAUUAGAGUGAGAUAAGAUUUAACUAUUUUCUAUUUUUAUUAUUAAAUAAAUAUGUCUUUAAGCUACAUAUUAUUGUAAAUAUUAACUAUCUAAUACCAUAGAUGUUAUGGUUAUCAAUAAAAUAAAUUAUGGACUUUAAAUUUUAUAAAAAUGAUAAAUAUAAAUAGAUAUGUAACAUUAAAAAUGAUAAAUAUAAAUGAUGUUUUUCUUCCGUUGCAAUAUUACCAAAUUGAGGAAAAGCAAUUUUUUUAAAAAAAAUUGUGGCCCCCGGCCCCCACUCCUCCCAUGGCUCCGCUCCCCGUCCCCGUCCACCCGCCAAUCGCUCCCAUCCUCGUCCCGCCGCCGCCACUUCCUCCGCCGGGGGCGGAGGCGAGGCCGACUACGAGGUCUGCGACGACCACCGCGCCGCGUGGGAGCGUCACGAGCAAUCGGUGCAGGAGCUCCUCUAGCGGCGUCGCGCCUACGCCAUGGCCGUGCGGGCCUGCCUCCGCCGCUUCGGCGAGCGCGAAAUGGAGCGCCACGACCGCCUCCGAGCCCUCAUGGUCCGGCUCGAGGCCGAUGGCCAGGUCGACCGUCUCCUCCGCGCGCAGGAGGACGACCACGCUGCACGCACCGGCGAGGAGAAGCAGAUCCAGUACCCCUUCUUCACCAAGGGCACGCAGGAGCUUCUCAAGGCGCGUGUCGACAUUGCACAGUACUCGCUGCCCUGUGCCAAGGCCAGGAUUGAGAUGGCCAAGCGCUGCCACGAGGAUUCCGAUGAAGACCUAAAGGCGGAGGCCGAACUCGUCGUGAAGCUGGCUGAGGAGUUUGUCCUGAAGUGUAGCGAGAUUGGAGAUGAUCGCCAAAAUUUCAGUUUGCUAAAUAUUUUCUUUUGCCCCCUAAUCCUGUUAGUGCCCCCUAAUCCUGUUAGUGUUGUGUUUGGUUUACCGAUGGCUUCCUCGCUCCAACGUUUCUAAAGGGGUAAAACAAAAUAAAAAACAUUCUAGGGUUCCUAAAGCAAAAUCUCAUUAGGCCCAAUCAGCUCAGGAUCGUUACGAUGGAAGAGAAAAAAAAAAUUUCUAGGGUUUCCAAUGUAAAAUCUCCAAUUUACUUUUCUUUUAUUUUUAAAAUCAGCUGAAAAUUAAUAAAUACAUAGUAAUUCAUAGAAAAAUCUAAAAAUUAUAAAACAAAUUUUGUUCAGCUCCACAUAUGUAGAUCCAUGCAGUAAAACAAAAAAUAUCACAAAUUUUAGUACACUUUUUUUUGGAAAUGCUUGCCUAUGCUUUUUACUAUAAAAUUAAAAUUAUAGUUAUCUUGCUCCAAUUAUUAUAAAAAUUUAAUGGUAGCCUAUUUAAUGUGAUGCUUGAUUCAUAUUUCAUAGCAAUCCUAAUCUAAAUUAAAAAAAUAAUGCUAGCAUCAAACUUCUCAUGUUUUAAUAUAAUACUGAGGCAUAUUAAGAGGUAAUAUUAGAGUGAGAUAAGAUUUAACUAUUUUCUAUUUUUAUUAUUAAAUAAAUAUGUCUUUAAGCUACAUAUUAUUGUAAAUAUUAACUAUCUAAUACCAUAGAUGUUAUGGUUAUCAAUAAAAUAAAUUAUGGACUUUAAAUUUUAUAAAAAUGAUAAAUAUAAAUAGAUAUGUAACAUUAAAAAUGAUAAAUAUAAAUGAUGUUUUUCUUCCGUUGCAAUAUUACCAAAUUGAGGAAAAGCAAUUUUUUUAAAAAAAAUUGUGGCCCCUGGCCCCCACUCCUCCCAUGGCUCCGCUCCCCGUCCCCGUCCACCCGCCAAUCGCUUCCAUCCCCGUCCCGCCGCCGCCACUUCCUCCGCCGGGGGCGGAGGUGAGGCCGAUUACGAGGUCUCCGACGACCACCGCGCCGCGUGGGAGCGUCACGAGCAAUCGGUGUAGGAGCUCCUCUAGCGGCGCCGCGCCUACGCCAUGGCCGUGCGGGCCUGCCUCCGCCGCCUUGGCGAGCGUGAAAUGGAGCGCCACGACCGCCUCCGAGCCCUCAUGGUCCGGCUCGAGGUCGAUGGCCAGGUCGAUCGUCUCCUCCGCGCGCAGGAGGACGACCACGCUGCACGCACCGGCGAGGAGGAGCAGAUCCAGUACCCCUUCUUCACCAAGGGCACGCAGGAGCUUCUCAAGGCGCGUGUCGACAUUGCACAGUACUCGCUGCCCCGUGCCAAGCCCAGGAUUGAGAUGGCCAAGCGCUGCCACGAGGACUCCGAUGAGGACCUAGAGGCGGAGGCCGAACUCGUCGUGAAGCAGGCUGGGGAGUUUGUCCUGGAGUGUAGCGAGAUUGGAGAUGAUCGCCCUCUGAUCGGCUGUUUCUUCUCUCGUGAUGCAUCAAUGCUGGCCACAAGGUACUUCCUCUUAAUCAUACCGAAUUACAUGUGCUUUGUUCAUGUAUGUCUCAAACAAAUGCUGUGAUGAAAGGAUGUUGAGAACUGUUACCUAUUAAUUGUAUUAUUAUGUGGCGGCUGUGGCUGUGGGCUUUUGUCACUAGCUGCGCCGCUGGUUUUGCUUUGGAUUGCACUGAGUGACAAUAAAAGUAGACUGAUCUGACGUGCUGUUUGAUGGAAUUGUUCCCUCAUGUGAUGCUUUUAUGCUUUCUUUACGUAAUAUUCUUCCUCUUUUAAUUUCUAUACAUAUUUUUAUAUCAUUUUUUACUUUUUUUCCUCCACUGUAUAUGAAGAUUUCUGUUUUUUUAUGGGACAUGAUUUUUUUCUAUUUCUUCUCAAGGUGAUUUCCGAUAUUAGUUUGGUAGUUUUGUUUGUUUUGGUGGGGUUAUAUUUAUUUGAUUCAAGGUUGGACUAAACUCAUUUAAAUUUUACAAAAAGUGUACAAUUAUCAAAUAAUAAAUUCUAUACCCCGUUGCAACGCACGGGCAUGUUUUGCUAGUAUCUAUAAAGAGCCAAAAUUUCAGUCUGCCCUCCAAAUCUUCUGCCAAUAUAUCCGUCUCACGGUUGCUUGAAAUCACAAAAAAACCCACGCGGCGGAGGCGCAGACGGCGUCCAGGUCGCGGCUGCCCGUGUCCUUCAAUUCAACAGCACCCGACGCGUAUUCCCUUCUUCAACUUUUCUCCGCGCGCUAAUCCUGUAAUCCGUUUUGUCCCCGCACACCUCCUCCCCUCCCCCAUCUCCACGCCACGCCAGUCGCACCUCGCAGAUGUCGGCAGCAUGCUCCUCCUCCGCCUCCACCCAAUGACCCCGCGGCCGCCCCACCUCCUGCUGCUCCUGCCCCUCGCCCUCCUCCUCUUCCUCCUCGCCAUUGCCUUGCCCGCCGCGUCCACGCUCGCCGUCUCGGCGUCCACCCACCUCCCGCACCGUCUACAGCAUCGAUGAGUACAACAACACCGUCUACUGUGCUGCGCUCCCAGGCUCCACCUCCUCCAACUCCUCAUGCACCACCGCCUACUCAAUCUGUCCACUUUAUUCUGUCAGCCACAAUCUAUCCCUAAUCUUUCCCUACUCUCCCCCAUGUACAAGAAGAGGUGGUACAGGGCAAAAUAAUUAAAGACACAGAGAAGGAAAUAAGAAAUCGAUCAAAGAUCCUAACCAAAUCGAAAAGGAGCUCUGAAUCAAAUAAAAGAGAAGCAAGAUUUUUAUUACACCGAAAAUCGAAUCGAACCCAAGACAAACGAAAAGAAAAAAACUUGACGCACGUGUUACUCAGAUGUGCAUAUGCACUAGACAAUGAGAUUUUGAGAGAAAACAUAUCCCCAUCUGCAAAUCGAAUACAAUACAACCAGAUAUCAAAUCGAAUCGAAUAUAGGCCUACAGAAUAAGAGAAUUAAGCACAUGAAGAAAUAAAAGAAGUAGUAGACGUGCCGAGCCGACGCGCCAGUGGCCUGCUACUGAGGCACCGCUCAUCGUAGUGGCUACUGCUCCGCCGUUGCCGACGCGACACCAUGGUGCGACCACCUCACAUCGCGCCCAGCAUGCCGCCCUGCCAUGGCCGUGGCCAAGUCAUCGGCCCACCCUGCCGCUGCCGAGGCAAACCGGUGGAGUAGCACACCGUGGGGGAGGACAAAGGGGCGAGGGGCCGACGCGGCUAGGGAGGAGAGGCGAACUGGUGGAGCAGCACACCUUGGGAAAGAAGGCCUGCUCGCCGGUACUGGCCGCACCGGAGACACCGUGUGCAGGAGAGGCGGCACCGGCACCGGAUCUGGGACAAAUGGUGGCCAGCGGCGCGACGUGCCGGGAGGAACCGCUUGCUAGGAUUGGCCACACUCGGGGAUGGCAGAUCUGGAGCAGGCAACGGUCGGCGCCGUGGCGCGUCGAGCGGGGCGACAGCGGACGGGGCAUCAAUUACGGCACGCGGGAUACCAAAGGAACGGCGGCGGCCUGGUGGCCUGAGUGGCGAAGGACGGCGGGCGCUGGACCCGAAGCUUGGAGCGACGGGAUGGGGUGGGAGUGGCGGAUCUGUCUAGUGCGAGCGAUGGGGUGGGGUGGAGGCCGCGUAUGGAGGAUUUAGGUCUAGGUGGUUUUGCCUUUUUUAUUUUUUUUUUCACUGCCUUUUCUAUUCCUACACAUGCCAAUACCAAAAGACGGUCACCAAUGCCAAAAACUGGGCGCCCCAUAUGCAGAACUUAUCUUUUCUGUGCAUACGCAAUUUUAAUUUGUAUGCAAUAUAAAAACCCAUAGAACAAUUAUAUUUUUCUGUGAGUUUAAGAAAUCCCGAUAGAAUAAUGUCAACUUUUAUGUGAGUGCGUAUUGUUUUUCUGUGUGUAUUCUCACGCACAUAAAAAUGAUACAAUUAUUAUGUGGGUUUUCAUAUUUUUCUGUCAGGAUAUUUUCAUCGCCGUUUUCUAUAAAUAUUAGAUAGUGUUUUCUCCCGUUGCAACGCACGGGCACGUUUGCUAGUUAGUAUAAUUAGUGAAUCACUAAAUAUAUUUUUAUAAUAAAUUUAUUUAAUUAGGAAUAUAAAUUUUGUUAAUAUUUUCUAUAGGAGUCAUUUGGAUCCUUUCAUUGAUGGAAUUAAAAUCUACUUAUAUAUAAUAAACUAGGCUAUUUGGUUUGUAAUUUGGCGUCAAUCACUUUCCAAAGUUAACAUAUAAACUUAUCUUAAAAUUAUAGGGUGAGAGAUGAAAAUUGAUUCUAUUGAUCACAUUUCUAUGUUUUACUUUACAACUUAUAACACGUUUUUUUAACUCGCUCUUCUACGAUAGAAAUGCAAGAUAUAAGUAUCUCUCCCAAAUAAUUAAUAAUAAUUAUAUACAAAUAUAAUCUAUAUACCACCACAUUAAUUUAACUAAUAUGUGUCUAAAUUAUAAUUAUUAAAAUAAAUUUAAUUCCAUCGAUCUAAAUGUGGCCUAGAUCUAAUCAAAUUUAAGAAAGUUUGACUAUUGUUUGCACUGCACGUGUCUACUGUCUAGUACUAUUCGCACAUUUGAUCUGCCGUGGUGGGGAGCGCGCCUAUAUCUAGUUACAGUACUUGAAUGUGUUGUCUAGUUACAGUUCUUGAAACAAAAUUUAAAGUUUAGUCACUAAAUUUUAGACCGCUUUAGUUCUUAAAGCUAAAUAUGAGGUUUAAAAUGUUGUCUAAAGUUUAAAAUUUGAUAGUACAAAAUUAAGAUGCCUUGUCAUGUUGAAACAGUUGGGAUAGUGUUCAAAAUAAUAAGACUAAUGCUAUAGUUGUUCCAUAUAUAAUCUUUAUUGUAUUAGAUAGCAUAUCAACUAUAGUUCUAACAUUUAUUCAACUCUUAGAGUGGUCUAUAAUCCAACAUGUCAUCUACUCUCUUCAUCCUUUUUUAUCUAUCAAUUCUCACUUUUCGAGAAGUCAAACAUACUUAACUUUAACUAGAUCUAUAUAUUAAAAUAUUAAUAUUUAUGGUACAUAAUUAGUAUCAUUAGAUAGAUUGUUGAAUAUUUUUCAUAAUAAACUUUUUUGGAGAUACAAACGUAGCUAAUAUUUUUUUUUCUAAAAACCUAGUCGAAGUUGAGAAAGUCGAUCAACACGUUUACCAUAGCGACAGAUAAAAAAGGACAGUGGAAGUAGCUAGCUAGCUCUGCUUAUUUUGGAUAUUUUUCAUUAGAU
rnacentral:lncRNA from 1 species